rnacentral:rRNA from 1 species
AGUAACACGUGAGUGACCUGCCUUUUAGACUGGAACAACUUACCGAAAGGUGAGCUAAUGCCGGAUGAGUUAUAUAAGUGCAUGUUUAUAUAGGAAAAGUUGGGGAGACCUGACGCUGAAAGAUGGACUCGCGUCCCAUUAGCUAGUUGGUAGGGUAAUGGCCUACCAAGGCGACGAUGGGUAGCCGGCCUGAGAGGGUGGCCGGCCACAUUGGGACUGAGAUACGGCCCAGACUCCUACGGAAGGCAGCAG